UACAUGAAUAUCGGGUUUUAAUAGCACUAUACAAUAGCGUUUGUAGUCAUUCUGCUAUUGUUAGAGGACCUCUGAACUUUCAAUAGCGUUUCUACCUUGUUGAAACGCUAUGGAUAGUAUUUCACAAUUUUUACUAUGACGCGGAAGUAUAUUUAAUAGCAUUACCAUAUUAAAACGCUAUUGAAAAGGUUGGGCGCUAAAAAUUUCCCAUUCCCGCUACUACACUUAGAAAUAUUUUUGGGCAUAGUUUCUUUUUCCCCUUAGCUCAUCUUUGUCGACUUUACUCUUCAAUUUUUAGGGUUUCCUCUUUCUCUCCUCUUUGCUAUCUCCGACAGACACAAAACACAAAUUUCCGAAAAAUUUCAACCUCUUUGCUCUCUCCGCAUCUUCCUUAGGUUCUCCCAUCUUCCUUGUAUGCUCGAUCUGUUUGGGAAUCCCACUAAAUCGAAGGUCGUAGUCGAACCAGUAUCCAAACACAUCACUUGUCCAGAUUGAAGGAGUCAACACCCAAGAGAAGUUCGAGUUAAUCAGAAGAGAACAAACUCUAUCAGGUAUAUGAUUCUUCUAUCAGAUUACUUGUAUUGUUGUUUUGGCUUUGAAAGUGACUGCCUCUGAAAAUUACUUGUAUGCACAUUUGGUCGGAGCUCUUGUGAAAUGGAUAAAGCUUGGGUUUGGUUGCCAAGGUAUUAACUUGUUCUUACAUAUAUGCAUUGAUUUCAUUUUAUGAUUGACUGUUCUCAGUUUGUAAUGGGUACUAUUUGUUAACUUGUAGGAAUAACCUUGAGUAUGAAACAGGAGCAACUAAGUUUGUGGUUGAAUCAGCAAGUAAUUUGGGUAAUCCAUCAGAAAUGUUCUGAAAUUCAAGUAAUAUCUGAUGCAGUAGGAAACUGGGUGGCUUGGCCUAACAAGCAUAUUGUAUUCAUGUGAGCAUAAGUUUGUGUCAAAAAACAUUGUUCUAUCUCAUGGUGUAGUACUACUCUUUGUAUGAUCUUUUAAAAUGACAGGUUUUAAAUCCAGUUUUAAUUUUAAGUUU